rnacentral:rRNA from 1 species
CUCAACCUCGGAAUUGCAGUCGAUACUGUUGUGACUCGAGUCCGGUAGAGGAGAACGGAAUUCCCGGUGUAGCGGUGAAAUGCGCAGAUAUCGGGAGGAACACCAGUAGCGAAGGCGGUUCCCUGGGCCGGUACUGACGCUGAGGAGCGAAAGCGUGGGGAGCAAACAGGAUUAGAUACCCUGGUAGUCCACGCCGUAAACGUUGGAUACUAGGUGUGGCGGUCUUACCAACGACUGCCGUGCCGAAGCUAACGCAUUAAGUAUCCCGCCUGGGGAGUACGGCCGCAAGGCUAAAACUCAAAGGAAUUGACGGGUCCCCGCACAAGCGGCGGAGCAUGCGGCUUAAUUCGAUGCAACCCGAAGAACCUUACCUGGGCUUGACAUCACGGGAAAAGCUGUGGAAACACAGUGUCCGUAAGGGCCC